rnacentral:rRNA from 1 species
ACCUAAGAGAUUAGGCGUAUCCCUUCGGGGACGGAAUGACAGGUGGUGCAUGGUUGUCGUCAGCUCGUGUCGUGAGAUGUUGGGUUAAGUCCCGCAACGAGCGCAACCCUUAUUGUCAGUUGCCAGCAUUUAGUUGGGCACUCUGGCGAGACUGCCGGUGACAAACCGGAGGAAGGUGGGGAUGACGUCAAAUCAUCAUGCCCCUUAUGACCUGGGCUACACACGUGCUACAAUGGACGGUACAACGAGUCGCGAAACCGCGAGGUCAAGCUAAUCUCUUAAAGCCGUUCUCAGUUCGGAUUGUAGGCUGCAACUCGCCUACAUGAAGUUGGAAUCGCUAGUAAUCGUGGAUCAGCAUGCCACGGUGGAAUACGUUCCCGGGUCUUUGUCCCACCGAAAUCAAUUUC